GGUCUAGUGCUGUGUGGAAGACUAGUGAUUUUGUUGUUCUGAUGUACUAUGACAACAAGUCACAGCCGGCCUCAUAGCGCAGACU
rfam:Otolemur garnettii contig058991, whole genome shotgun sequence.